AUUUUGCCUGCCGCUGCUUGGUCACUGUAACGCAGACGCAGCUAUGCUGAGGAGUAAUAGCUUACUGAUUGCUGACAGUCUACAGCGUGACCUUUCCGGACUAGCUAGCACCAAACGGGGCUGCAUCCUUCAAAGAUCAUAGUCUGCACAGCCAUCUUGGAUUCUGAGCUUGGGGCUUCUGAUGUUUCUCGGACUUUUGGAGUCAGAAUUCCGACGUCGGAGGGCGUACCAGUUGAAAUUUCCAACUGGGAACUCAGAAUUUCUUACUUCCGAGUUCUAAAGGAACACAGCAGUAGUUACGAACUGAUCCCAUGUUCGUUUAUCACUAAUUGAUCAUAAUGAUUCAUGUAUUUUAUGCAGGAAUUAUAUUAGUGUGUGAUUUGUUUUUGAAUAGUAAUUGAGUAACUAAUGUAUUUGUUUAAAUAAAGUGUUAUCUGUGAAACUCGUGAGCUCAUCAUCUCAGGGUUUGACAAAUACAUGGCCGUUGGAUCCAUAUAUUUAAAGUUUUGUCUUAAUAGUCCAUAAUACCAAAUUCCUUCCUGUUAAUAGACGAUGAUUUAUGGUUUAAGACAUAAGAAGUUAUGGCUUCAAACAAGUGCACUCAAACUUUUGAAUGGUACUAUCAGUAAUGGCAAAGUUUAUCAUUUUGUAAUAUAGCCCUGUCACUUCACAGCAAUGCCUCAAAAAUAAUAUAUUAAUAUUUUUAUUAGUAUGAACGUUAAAAAUAAAAAUGAGCUUGUGGACAUUGUUCUCUAACAUCAAUUCCCUAAUUAUGCAUGAUUUCAUGGCUAUCAUUUAAAGUUAUACCAAUAACACUUCACAAUAAUAUCACAAUGUAAUAGUUUGCUAUAUUCACAGUAUUAUUUGUAUUACAUUUAGCUUGCUACUUUGUCUUUUUAAAUAUUUUAGCUAUAUUUUGUGACAUAUUCUGACGUCUGAAUGUAUUCCUAUUCGUCAAGUUUUGACAGUUCUGAUUCCUGCAUAGGAUUCACAUUGAUUUUGAAAACAGUUUUUCCUGGAAAGAAAUAUCUUCCCCUACCUUGCCUUCAAAGUGGAUUUUCUUAUUCAGGUGAAUGAGCUCUUCUGUUCUCUUCAUUGAUUGGACACUGGAGUUACACUCUUUUAUUAUCUUUAAAAUUUGAGAAAAUGGACAUGAUUUGUUUUCAGUGGAAUAACUGCUGUCCACUAAUGCAAUACAUUUACUUAGGCCUAUAUUUUGCAUGUAAGAAACUAUUUCACUGCCCAAGAAAUUAUAAAGGAAUGUGUAAAUGAUUGUGUAAAUUAUAAUUGAUUAUAAGCAGGCAUUUAAAUGUUAAUAGUGUGUGAUUCAGAUGGAAUAUACUAUGAAUACCUGUUCUGCUAUAGCAUGGGAGAUUCACUGCGAAUCAGGCACAAUAAAAGUCCCUUUAUACCUGCUCGGAAGUAA